GUCUACGGCCAUACCACCCUGAACGUGCCCGAUCUCAUCUGAUCUCGGAAAAACUGUGGCCCCAGAAGCUUUAGCUA
ensembl:rRNA 5S_rRNA 5S ribosomal RNA